ACGAACGCUGGCGGCGUGCCUAAUACAUGCAAGUCGAACGAAGCUUUCUUUCACCGAAUGCUUGCAUUCACCGAAAGAAGCUUAGUGGCGAACGGGUGAGUAACACGUAGGCAACCUGCCCAAAAGAGGGGGAUAACACUUGGAAACAGGUGCUAAUACCGCAUAACCAUGAACACCGCAUGAUGUUCAUGUAAAAGACGGCUUUUGCUGUCACUUUUGGAUGGGCCUGCGGCGUAUUAACUUGUUGGUGGGGUAACGGCCUACCAAGGUGAUGAUACGUAGCCGAACUGAGAGGUUGAUCGGCCACAUUGGGACUGAGACACGGCCCAAACUCCUACGGGAGGCAGCAGUAGGGAAUCUUCCACAAUGGACGAAAGUCUGAUGGAGCAACGCCGCGUGAAUGAAGAAGGCCUUCGGGUCGUAAAAUUCUGUUGUCAGAGAAGAACGUGCGUGAGAGUAACUGUUCACGUAUUGACGGUAUCUGACCAGAAAGCCACGGCUAACUACGUGCCAGCAGCCGCGGUAAUACGUAGGUGGCGAGCGUUGUCCGGAUUUAUUGGGCGUAAAGGGAACGCAGGCGGUCUUUUAAGUCUGAUGUGAAAGCCUUCGGCUUAACCGAAGUAGUGCAUUGGAAACUGGAAGACUUGAGUGCAGAAGAGGAGAGUGGAACUCCAUGUGUAGCGGUGAAAUGCGUAGAUAUAUGGAAGAACACCAGUGGCGAAAGCGGCUCUCUGGUCUGUAACUGACGCUGAGGUUCGAAAGCGUGGGUAGCAAACAGGAUUAGAUACCCUGGUAGUCCACGCCGUAAACGAUGAGUGCUAAGUGUUGGAGGGUUUCCGCCCUUCAGUGCUGCAGCUAACGCAUUAAGCACUCCGCCUGGGGAGUACGGUCGCAAGACUGAAACUCAAAGGAAUUGACGGGGGCCCGCACAAGCGGUGGAGCAUGUGGUUUAAUUCGAAGCAACGCGAAGAACCUUACCAGGUCUUGACAUCCUACUAACGAAGCAGAGAUGCAUUAGGUGCCCUUCGGGGAAAGUAGAGACAGGUGGUGCAUGGUUGUCGUCAGCUCGUGUCGUGAGAUGUUGGGUUAAGUCCCGCAACGAGCGCAACCCCUAUCCUUAGUAGCCAGCAGUAAGAUGGGCACUCUAGGGAGACUGCCGGGGAUAACCCGGAGGAAGGUGGGGAUGACGUCAAAUCAUCAUGCCCCUUAUGACCUGGGCUACACACGUGCUACAAUGGACGGUACAACGAGUCGCUAACUCGCGAGGGCAAGCUAAUCUCUUAAAGCCGUUCUCAGUUCGGAUUGCAGGCUGCAACUCGCCUGCAUGAAGUCGGAAUCGCUAGUAAUCGCGAAUCAGCAUGUCGCGGUGAAUACGUUCCCGGGCCUUGUACACACCGCCCGUCACACCAUGAGAGUUUGUAACACCCGAAGUCGGUGGGGUAACCUUUUGGAGCCAGCCGCCUAAGGUGGGACAGAUGAUUGGGGUG
rnacentral:rRNA from 1 species